rnacentral:rRNA from 1 species
AGAGCGAACGCUGGCGGCAGGCCUAAUACAUGCAAGUCGAACGGACCCUUCGGGGUUAGUGGCGGACGGGUGAGUAACACGUGGGAACGUGCCCUUUGGUUCGGAACAACUCAGGGAAACUUGAGCUAAUACCGAAUGUGCCCCCAUCCUUAAACAAGAUGGGUGGGAAAGAUUUAUCGCCAUUGGAGCGGCCCGCGUCUGAUUAGCUAGUUGGUGGGGUAAAGGCUCACCAAGGCGACGAUCAGUAGCUGGUCUGAGAGGAUGAUCAGCCACACUGGGACUGAGACACGGCCCAGACUCCUACGGGAGGCAGCAGUAGGGAAUCUUGCGCAAUGGGCAAAGCCUGACGCAGCCAUGCCGCGUGACGGAUGACGCCUCGUUGGGUGUAAACGUCUUUGCCGGGAAGAGAACGGACGGUACCCGGCGAAUCAGGACCGGCUAACUACGUGCCAGCAGCCGC